rnacentral:rRNA from 1 species
CACGUAGGCACCAAGCGUUGUCCGGAUUUAUUGGGCGUAAAGAGCUCGUAGGCGGUGUGUCGCGUCGGCCGUGAAAACCUGCAGCUUAACUGUGGGCUUGCGGUCGAUACGGGCAUCACUGGAGUUCGGCAGGGGAGACUGGAAUUCCUGGUGUAGCGGUGAAAUGCGCAGAUAUCAGGAGGAACACCGGUGGCGAAGGCGGGUCUCUGGGCCGAUACUGACGCUGAGGAGCGAAAGCGUGGGGAGCGAACAGG